rnacentral:rRNA from 1 species
UACGUAGGGUGCGAGCGUUGCCCGGAUUUAUUGGGCGUAAAGGGCGCGUAGGCGGCUACGCACGUCCGUUGUGAAAUCGCUCGGCUCAACUGGGCGGGGUCAGCGGAUACGGUGUAGCUGGAGCAAGCUAGGGGGCAAUGGAAUUCCCGGUGUAGUGGUGGAAUGCGUAGAGAUCGGAAAGAACACCAACGGCGAAAGCACUCUGCUGGGCCGACACUGACACUGAGAGACGAAAGCUAGGGGAGCGAAUGGG